rnacentral:rRNA from 1 species
CAGCAGCCGCGGUAAUACGAAGGGUGCAAGCGUUACUCGGAAUUACUGGGCGUAAAGCGUGCGUAGGUGGUGGUUUAAGUCCGUUGUGAAAGCCCUGGGCUCAACCUGGGAAUUGCAGUGGAUACUGGGUCACUAGAGUGUGGUAGAGGAUAGUGGAAUUUCCGGUGUAGCAGUGAAAUGCGUAGAGAUCGGAAGGAACAUCUGUGGCGAAGGCGACUAUCUGGGCCAACACUGACACUGAGGCACGAAAGCGUGGGGAGCAAACAGGAUUAGAUACCCCCGUAGUCCCUGUCUCUUAUAA